UCUCUCGUAGGUAAGUGAUCAGAGCAUUGGCGCGUAAAGCCAACGAGCCCGGGUUCGAUUCCCGGCGAAGGUG
rnacentral:tRNA from 1 species